GUGGGGAAUCUUGCGCAAUGGGCGAAAGCCUGACGCAGCCAUGCCGCGUGAAUGAUGAAGGUCUUAGGAUUGUAAAAUUCUUUCACCGGGGACGAUAAUGACGGUACCCGGAGAAGAAGCUCCGGCUAACUUCGUGCCAGCAGCCGCGGUAAUACGAAGGGGGCUAGCGUUGCUCGGAAUUACUGGGCGUAAAGGGCGCGUAGGCGGACAGCUUAGUCAGAGGUGAAAGGCCAGGGCUCAACCUUGGAAUUGGCUUUGAUACUGGCUGUCUUAAGGUUGGGGGAGGUGGGUGGAACUCCGAGUGUAGAGGUGAAAUUCGUAGAUAUUCGGAAGAACACCAGUGGCGAAGGCGACACACUGGCUCAUUACUGACGCUGAGGCGCGAAAGCGUGGGGAGCAAACAGGAUUAGAAACCCCGGUAGUCC
rnacentral:rRNA from 1 species